UAUAUGGACUUUGGCUAC
rnacentral:siRNA from 1 species